GCUUUAUUGGGGCAAAAGCAUCAACGUUUUGACCCUGCUAGGUCUUGAUCAAGCUUGAUAAAGACCUGACAGGUUUGAAACAUUGAUGCUUUUGCCCCAAUAAAGC